UACGAAGGGGGCUAGCGUUGCUCGGAAUCACUGGGCGUAAAGCGUACGUAGGCGGAUGAUUAAGUCAGGGGUGAAAUCCCGAGGCUCAACCUCGGAACUGCCUUUGAUACUGGUCAUCUUGAGUCCGGGAGAGGUGAGUGGAACUCCUAGUGUAGAGGUGAAAUUCGUAGAUAUUAGGAAGAACACCAGUGGCGAAGGCGGCUCACUGGCCCGGAACUGACGCCGAGGUACGAAAGCGUGGGGAGCAAACAGG
rnacentral:rRNA from 1 species